GUUUGUGUGGAUGGGUUGGGGUCUUCAGCAUUUGUCAGCUAAUCAAUGAUUUGAUACUGAACUGUCAGUCGUCUCCAUCUUCCAGGUCCACUUCUCGUGAUAAAGAAGGUCUUUAUCGCUCUCCACCAUGCAGUAUCACAUGAGGCAGUUCAUCAGCAAAACUUAAACUUCUGCCAGGGAGAACCCAAGGUACUUCUAACAGACACGGUCCUACCUGCUCCUGCCUGUCCACUCCAGGGUACCAUCCUGAUUCAGAGAGCCAGUGGGUCAACAGAAGGCUGUGGAGUAGGUCUGAGUCCUGUUGGUGGUCUUCAGCCCUCCACCUCGGAUUCACAGGCACACGCGAGCCCUACAGAUAUGAAUGAUAUUAAUUAUUUUCCAGUUUGUCGCGUAUUUUACAAAGUAAUCCCCACAGCUGCGUGCUGCAGUGUAAAGGAUGUGGCUGAAUGAUCUUGUGUCUGUGGGUCCAGGUUCCGAUCCUCUAGGCGCCUGUGGAGUCGAGGAAAAGAUCAUCCAAGAAGUGCCAGAAAGCAAACAUGACAGCAGCUGUCUGUCGUACAACAUCUCAACGUGUCUGAUUUGUUACAUUGAUACAAAAAAAAAAAGAGUAUUCUGAACAAAAGCACAAACCCCUGAUGUUCCAGAGGUUUAUAUGGUUGUUAUGUUCCUGAACUCAUCCUUCACCUGCAUUCAUUUCUGUUGCAGAGACCCAGGGAGCCGGAGGGACACCAGGAGACCACCAGGAACCUCCGGGAGCUCCUGAUCCGUCGACCUCCAGCCGUCCUCCAACAUGUGACUCACCCCUUUGUGAACUCACAUACCUCCUUCUCGUUUGAAUUUGAAUCUUUAUUCAUUUCUUUAUUGAUAAGAUUGUUCAAUUUUGUGUUUCAUUUCUUUAUGGUUAUUGAUGAGUUCCCUAAUAAUCAUUUAAUCUUUCUUGAAGGGAACUUUUUGAAUAUUUAUAAUUAUUCAAUGAUUAGAUUGUUUACUGUGUUUCAUACUUUUGUCUCAUUUAAGCUUUAAACUGAACAAUCUGUACAUUUAUAAUUUCUUUAUUUAUUGAUUAGAUUAUUCAGAAUUUUAUGUUUCAUAUUUGAAUUUUAGGUUUGAUAAGUUUAAUUUUAAUGUUUUCCUUUUUUGAAUCC